UUCCGGUUGAUCCUGCCGGACCCGACUGCUAUCGGAUUGAGAUUUAGCCAUGCGAGUCGAACGUCCCCCUGUUGCGGGGGGCGUGGCGUACGGCUCAGUAACACGUAGUCAACCUGCCCUAGAGACAAGGACAACCCCGGGAAACUGGGAUUAAUCCUUGAUAGGUCAUCUCAUCUGGAAGGAGAGAUGGCUUAAAGGGGUACGCGGGCUUCUUCCGCGAAUUCGCUCCAGGAUGGGACUGCGUCCGAUCAGGCUGUUGGCGGGGUAAUGGCCCACCAAACCUGUAACCGGUACGGGCCUUGAGAGAGGUGGCCCGGAGAUGGACACUGAGAGAAGGGUCCAGGUCCUACGGGGCGCAGCAGGCGCGAAACCUUCGCAAUGCGCGAAAGCGUGACGAGGUUAAUCCGAGUGACUCCCGCUGAGGGGGUCUUUUGUCAGCUGUAAAUAGGCAGGCGAAUAAGGGGAGGGCAAGCCUGGUGUCAGCCGCCGCGGUAAUACCAGCUCCUCGAGUGGUCGGGGCGAUUAUUGGGCCUAAAGCAUCCGUAGCCGGUUCCGUAGGUCCUCUGUUAAAUCCAACCGCUUAACGGUUGACCUGCAGAGGAUACCGCGGGACUAGGAGGCGGGAGAGGCGGACGGUACUCCGCGUGUAGGGGUAAAAUCCUUUGAUCCGCGGAAGACCACCAGUGGCGAAGGCGGUCCGCCAGAACGCGCUCGACGGUGAGGGAUGAAAGCUGGGGGAGCGAACCGGAUUAGAUACCCGGGUAGUCCCAGCCGUAAACGAUGCUAGCUAGAUGAUUCAUUCGCAAGUCGCGAAUGAAGUGUCGCAGGGAAGCCGUUAAGCUAGCCGCCUGGGGAGUA
rnacentral:rRNA from 1 species